AUGGGGGUGAGCGUCAAGCCACGAAUCGGACUCGAGAUCGCACCCCAGAGAGAAAAAAACAAAGAGUUUUUCUUUGUUUUGUUGUGCCUCCUCUCCCUUCUUCAAGCAAAAAUAGACUCAAAUGACAAUGAUGAUCAAUGGUGCAUGACGUCCAUCUCUGC